rnacentral:rRNA from 1 species
CAGGGACGUUGCAGCUGCGCCUUACAUGCAGUCGAACUGGCAGCAUGGACUUCGGUCUGGUGGCGAGUGGCGAACGGGUGACUAAUACAUCCGGCCGUGCCUAAUACUGGGGGAUAACUACUCCUAAGAGUGGCUAAUACCGCAUGAGAUCUACGGAUGAAAGCAGGGGAUCGCAAGACCUUGUGCUACUAGAGCGGCCGAUGGCCUAUUAGGUAGUUGGUGGGAUAAAAACUUACCAAACCAACCAUCUGUAUCUGGUCUGAAAGGACGAUCAGCCACACUGGGACUGAAACACGGCCCAGACUCCUACGGCAGGCAGCAGUGGGGAAUUUUGGACAAUGGGCGAGAGCCUGAUCCUGUGAUGCCACGUGCAGGAUGAUGGCCAUCGGGUUGUAAACUGCUUUUGUACAGAUCGAUGAGCUUCGGGUUAAUACCCUGGACUCUUGACUGUACCGUAACAAUAAGCACAGGCUAACUACAUGCCCGCCCCCCGCGGUA